AAUACGUUCCCGGGCCUUGUACACACCGCCCGUCACGUCACGAAAGUCGGUAACACCCGAAGCCGGUGGCCUAACCCUUCUGGAGGGAGCCGUCGAAGGUGGGAUCGGCGGUUGGGACGAAGUCGUAACAAGGUACCC
rnacentral:rRNA from 1 species